UACGUAGGGGGCAAGCGUUGUCCGGAUUUAUUGGGCGUAAAGAGCGUGUAGGCGGCCAGACAGGUCCGUUGUGAAAACUAGAGGCUUAACCUCUAGACGUCGAUGGAAGCCGUCUGGCUAGAGUCCGGAAGAGGAGAAUGGAAUUCCUGGUGUAGUGGUGAAAUGCGUAGAGAUCCGGAGGAACCCCAGAGGCGAAGGCGGCCCCCUGGCUCGUACCUGACGCUCAGCCACGAAAGCAUGGGGAGCGAACGGG
rnacentral:rRNA from 1 species